GGCCGGGGGCGCAGCUAUCUCCCUCUUCUGCCGCUUGCCAGAAUAUUAAUGAGGAGUUCUGCCUUGUUCCCGGAGCUGCUCGAGCAUGUAAUGAGGCGAGAGCCGCAUUCCUGCAUCCCAGGGGAAGAGGAGGAAGGGAUGGUCCUGUUCCUGCAGAACGUCCCGAGGCCGGAAGCAUUUCCAGGGGUUCAGAUCAGAAUCAACCCAGCUCAGCUGGGCUCUGGAUCAGCAGCAUCACCCAGGGAAGAUCACAGCUCUGUCCCCUCUGCCGUGGAAAAAACUGAUAAAAUAUCCCCUUGUCCCAGCAUUCCUUCAGAUCUUGGGAGAGAUGGAGGCAAUCACAAGGAGCGCCUGCCUGCAUUCCCUCUGCCAGCCCCCAUCGGGAUCCAGCUCCCUACAAACUGUGGGGAUUUGGGGAUUUUACACCAAGGUCAAGCUGCCCUCUGCUCCUCCUCACCCACAGCCCGUUCCCUGUGUCCAGAGCCUGGGACAGCACUGGGAAAGUAUCAAAAGGUGUUAAAAUUAUGAAAACAAGGCACUGGAAGACUGUCACCUUCACCAAGUAGGAAAGCAGAGAAAUAUUUUCAUUCCAGGUUUUCCUGCUGGCUGUGCACUUGUCUGAACCCACCAGCCUGCUUUAGUGCUCAGUUUUACUUCUCCACUCCUGUUUGAAAUGUUACAGGUUUGGAAUUGGAGGCAAUUUUUAGGAAUUGAUAGUUGGGAGGUACUGGAAGGGGGGGACUGUGCACGUGCCAGCCAAGGAAACCCUUGGCUGUCCCAGCACGGGGACAAUAAACACGGCCAUAAAUGUCAAUAAAGCCAAAACGUUUUCCCUGGAGAUGGAUCCCAGGGAAGGGCUCAGUGAGGAUGGGAAUGAUUGGGCCUCCUGGAUAUUCCAGGCAAUUGUAGAAAUAUCAGGAGUUGCACUCUGGGUGCAUUCCAGGGAGAGAUAAAUAAAUAAAUGCAUUUUGAUAGGAUUUGUUCUGUCCACGGUAAAUGCAGGCUAAGAGAGAAAAUCUAUGGCUCUUCCUUUUAUUGCUGUCAUUCCCAAUAGCUGGGAGAUGGGAAUGGAGAAAUAUAUCCAGGGAGUGAUGGGCUCUGCUCUGCCAGAGGUUUCAGAGGUAAAUAAACAAGUUUUAUUGGCUGCUCUUACAUCUCGAUGUAGCAUUUAAUGGAUAUAUUAAACACUGAUCCAGCUGCCAGAUAUCCCAAGGAAAUAUUGUGUGCAUCCCAGCUCAGCCUCGCAGUGCCACAACAAAUCUGGGUUUUCCUAAUGAGAGCAAGGUUUGCUCCCAUAAACCACUCUGAGCUUACAGAGCUGAUUUCCUGCCAGUCAUUUCUCCCCCCAUCAUGCCAAGGUUUUGCAAUUCCACCCAAAUGACCUUCAUUCCCCCCUGGCUGGGGGAAAGCAGGGAUUGGGAUGGAAAUUUGGGGUGCGGAAGGCCUUGGAUGCAAAAAUCCAAACUGAAGGACACUUGGGGGGAUGCAGGACCAAAACCAAGAUUUAAGCAACUAAAGCCAGACCCCCAUGGAUGCAGAUUUGAUGUCUGAACAGAGAAAUAAAAAAGCAACAGGAUUAAAGCGGGGCAGAGUCUCCUCAUCUCU